UCACGCAUGGUCUAGCGGUUAGGAUUCCUGACUUUCACUCAGGCGGCCCGGGUUUGACUCCCGGUGUUGGGG
rnacentral:tRNA from 1 species